GACGAACGCUGGCGGCGUGCCUAACACAUGCAAGUCGAACGAGGUCCAUCCUUCGGGAGAAGACCUAGUGGCGAACGGGUGAGUAACACGUGAGGAACCUGCCCCGAAGACCGGGAUAACCCUCCGAAAGGAGAGCUAAUACCGGAUACCCCCACCGAACCGCAUGGUUUGGUGAGGAAAUGGAUUCCGCUUCGGGAGGGCUUCGCGGCCUAUCAGCUAGUUGGUGGGGUAACGGCCCACCAAGGCAUCGACGGGUAGCUGGUCUGAGAGGACGAUCAGCCACACUGGGACUGAGACACGGCCCAGACUCCUACGGGAGGCAGCAGUGGGGAAUCUUGCGCAAUGGGCGAAAGCCUGACGCAGCAACGCCGCGUGGGGGAUGAAGGCUCUCGGGUUGUAAACCUCUUUCAGCAGGGACGAAUCAAGACGGUACCUGCAGAAGAAGCCCCGGCUAACUACGUGCCAGCAGCCGCGGUAAU
rnacentral:rRNA from 1 species